rnacentral:rRNA from 1 species
GACGAACGCUGGCGGCGUGCCUAACACAUGCAAGUCGAGCGGAGUCGAUCGACGGAAGCCUUCGGGCGGAAGAUGGUUGACUUAGCGGCGGAUGGGUGAGUAACGCGUGGGCAACCUGCCUCGAAGACCGGGAUAACAGCCCGAAAGGGCUGCUAAUACCGGAUGUGGUCAAGGAUCCGCAUGGAUUUUUGAUUAAAGGGGAAACCCGUUUCGAGAUGGGCCCGCGUCCUAUCAGCUAGUUGGUGAGGUAAAAGCUCACCAAGGCGACGACGGGUAGCCGGCCUGAGAGGGCGACCGGCCACACUGGAACUGAGACACGGUCCAGACUCCUACGGGGGCAGCAGUGGGGAAUCUUCCACAAUGGGCGAAAGCCUGAUGGAGCGACGCCGCGUGAGCGAAGAAGGCCUCGGUUGUAAAGCUCUGUCUGGAGGGACGAAGGAAGUGACGGUACCUCCGGAGGAAGCCACGGCUAACUACGUG